rnacentral:rRNA from 1 species
AUGGCUCAGGAUGAACGCUAGCUACAGGCUUAACACAUGCAAGUCGAGGGGCAGCAUUGGGAUAGCUUGCUAUUCAGAUGGCGACCGGCGCACGGGUGAGUAACGCGUAUCCAACCUUCCUGCCAGUAGGGAACAGCCCGGCGAAAGUCGGAUUAAUGCCCUAUGUUCUUCAAUGCGGACAUCUAAGUUGAAGGAAAGAUUCAUCGCUGGCAGAUGGGGAUGCGUCCGAUUAGCUUGCCGGCGGGUAACGGCCCACCGGGGCGACGAUCGGUAGGGGUUCUGAGAGGAAGGUCCCCCACACUGGUACUGAGACACGGACCAGACUCCUACGGGAGGCAGCAGUGAGGAAUAUUGGUCAAUGGGCGUAAGCCUGAGCCAGCCAAGUAGCGUGCAGGAAUGACGGCCCUACGGGUUGUAAACUGCUUUUAUGCGGGGAUAAAGUGCGGCACGUGUGCCGCUUUGCAGGUACCGCAUGAAUAAGGACCGGCUAAUUCCGUGCCAGCAGCGGC